CCUACGUGGGGCAGCAGUGGGGGAUAUUGCACAAUGGGGGGAACCCUGAUGCAGCGACGCCGCGUGGGUGAAGAAGCGCCUCGGCGCGUAAAGCCCUGUCAGCAGGGAAGAAAAUGACGGUACCUGAAAAAGAAGCCCCGGCUAACUACGUGCCAGCAGCCGCGGUAAUCGGUAGGGGGCAAGCGUUAUCCGGAUUUACUGGGUGUAAAGGGGGCGCAGACGGCGAUGCAAGCCAGGAGUGAAAGCCCGGGGCCCAACCCCGGGACGGCUCUUGGAACUGCGUGGCUGGAGUGCAGGAGGGGCAGGCGGAAUUCCUGGUGUAGCGGUGAAAUGCGUAGAUAUCAGGAGGAACACCGGUGGCGAAGGCGGCCUGCUGGACUGCAACUGACGUUGAGGCCCGAAAGCGUGGGGAGCAAACAGGAUUAGAUACCCGGGUAGUC
rnacentral:rRNA from 1 species